CCUACGGGAGGCUGCAGUGAGGAAUAUUGGUCAAUGGGCGGGAGCCUGAACCAGCCAAGUCGCGUGAGGGAUGACGGCCCUAUGGGUUGUAAACCUCUUUUGCCGGGGAGUAAAGCGCCGCACGUGUGCGGUUUGGAGAGUACCCUGAGAAAAAGCAUCGGCUAACUCCGUGCCAUCAGCCGCGGUAAUACGGAGGAUGCGAGCGUUAUCCGGAUUUGUUGGGUUAAAGGGGUGCGUAGGCGGACGCUUCAGUUAGCGGGAAAAUUGCGGUGCUCAACCCCGUCGAGCCGUUGAAACUGGGUGCCGUGAGUGGGCGAGAAGUACGCGGAAUGCGUGGUGUAGCGGUGAAAUGCAUAGAUAUCACGCAGAACUCCGAUUGCGAAGGCAGCGUACCGGCGCCCAACUGACGCUGAAGCACGAAGGCGUGGGUAUCGAACAGGAUUAGAUACCCCUGUAGUC
rnacentral:rRNA from 1 species